rnacentral:rRNA from 1 species
UACGGGGGGGGCAAGCGUUGUUCGGAAUUACUGGGCGUAAAGGGCUCGUAGGUGGCCAACUAAGUCAGACGUGAAAUCCCUCGGCUUAACCGGGGAACUGCGUCUGAUACUGGAUGGCUUGAGUUUGGGAGAGGGACGCGGAAUUCCAGGUGUAGCGGUGAAAUGCGUAGAUAUCUGGAGGAACACCCAUAGCGAAGGCAGCUUGCUGGGACGUUACUGACGCUAAGGCGCGAAAGCGUGGGGAGCGAACAGG